AGAACGAACGCUGGCGGCAGGCCUAAUACAUGCAAGUCGAACGCCGUAGCAAUACGGAGUGGCAGACGGGUGAGUAACACGUGGGAACCUUCCCAAUGGUACGGAAUAGCCCGGGGAAACCCGGAGUAAUACCGUAUACGCCCGAAAGGGGAAAGAUUUAUCGCCAUUGGAUGGGCCCGCGUCGGAUUAGCUAGUUGGUGAGGUAACGGCUCACCAAGGCGACGAUCCGUAGCUGGUCUGAGAGGAUGAUCAGCCACACUGGGACUGAGACACGGCCCAGACUCCUACGGGAGGCAGCAGUAGGGAAUAUUGGACAAUGGGCGAAAGCCUGAUCCAGCCAUGCCGCGUGAGUGACGAAGGCCUUCGGGUUGUAAAGCUUCUUUUGGCGGGACGAUAAUGACGGUACCGCAGAAUAAGCCCGCUAACUUCGCGCCAGCAGCCGC
rnacentral:rRNA from 1 species